rnacentral:rRNA from 1 species
GACGGACGCUGGCGGCGUGCUUAACACAUGCAAGUCGAACGGAAAGGCCCUGCUUUUGUGGGGUGCUCGAGUGGCGAACGGGUGAGUAACACGUGAGUAACCUGCCCUUGACUUUGGGAUAACUUCAGGAAACUGGGGCUAAUACCGGAUAGGAGCUCCUGCUGCAUGGUGGGGGUUGGAAAGUUUCGGCGGUUGGGGAUGGACUCGCGGCUUAUCAGCUUGUUGGUGGGGUAGUGGCUUACCAAGGCUUUGACCGGUAGCCGGCCUGAGAGGGUGACCGGCCACAUUGGGACUGAGAUACGGCCCAGACUCCUACGGGAGGCAGCAGUGGGGAAUAUUGCACAAUGGGCGGAAGCCUGAUGCAGCAACGCCGCGUGCGGGAUGACGGCCUUCGGGUUGUAAACCGCUUUCGCCUGUGACGAAGCGUGAGUGACGGUAAUGGGUAAAGAAGCACCGGCUAACUACGUG